ACGGGUACGGCGAAUUGGGUUCGAUUCCGGAGAGGGAGCCUGAGAAACGGCUACCACAUCUAGGAGGCGCGGCGCGCAUUACCCAAUCCUGAUUCAGGGAGGUAGUGACAAUAAAUAACAAUCCAGGACUUCGGUCUUGGAAUUGGAAUGAGAACAAUUUAAAUCUCUUAUCGAGGAACAAUUGGAGGGCAAGUCUGGUGCCAGCAGCCGCGGUAAUUCCGGCUCCAAUAGCGUAUAUUAAAGUUGUUGCAGUUAAAUAGCUCGUAGUUGAAUCUUGGGGCUGGUUUGGCGGUCGCGUCUUUGACGUGUACUGUCGGGCCGGU
rnacentral:rRNA from 1 species